rnacentral:lncRNA from 1 species
AAAACACCCGGCCGCUGGGGCAGCGCCGCCCAAGGAGGGUGGAAGGGCGCUGCUCCGGGAUGGAGACCAGAGGGGCGGCUCUGGGGCCGCCUCGGGCGGGGGACCCCCUGAGCCUUCGCUUGAGCGGCGCCGUGGAUCGGAAGCAGCGCGGGCCCGCAGCCACAAUUUCACCAAAGUCCAAGAAGCAGGAGGCUGCGCGCGCCGGGGGCUGCAGCCUUUUCCAUUAGCCCCUGCUCCGGGCUGGGGAAGCGGGAAUAGCGAGUCUUUCCCGACUCGGAGGACCUGGCACGGUGUGGCCUGCGCUCCACGGGGCUCCCAGUUUCCUCCAAACCUCUCAAGAGCCCGUGGGAUUUUACCCUUUCACCUGCCUCCGCUUCUGCUGUAUCUUGUCCCAGUUCGUUAAGUGUGAAGGUCUCAGCAGCCACACCUCGACAGCAUACCGGGAACUCUCAAUACUCCUCUACCCAUUAGCAAUA